AUGGGUCAGGCCAGCCAUCGCCGGCGCCAAGCCCCCGAGAGACGCCACGACCUCCACCGAGCAGGAGUAGUAGCUCGCCUUCUCGUGGCGCGGCGCCUACGAGGAGCCGUCGCCGUCACCAUCGGUGUCCUCGACGGAGGCGCAAGAUCCCGCGGUGCUGCGCGUGGGGAUCAUUGGGUUCGGCAACUUCGGGCAGUUCAUCGCCAGGGGCAUCCAGCGGCAGGGCCACGCCAUGCUGGCCACCUCCAGAUCCGACUACUCCGACUACUGCUCCGCCCACAGGAUUCGCUUCUUCAGGCGCUGUGCGAGGAGCAGCCGGACGAGCUGCUGGUUUGCAGCUCCAUCCUCUCCACGGAGCCCGUCGUCCGCACCACCCCCCUCGCCAAGCUCCGCCCCGACACCAUCGUCACCGACGUGCUCUCCGUCAAGCAGUUCCCCUGCAACCUCCUCCUCGAGCAGCAGAUGGUAGACCUUUUUGGGAAAAUAUAUUUGAUGCAUCUUUAUAAAAAGUUGAAAUGUCUUGGCUGGAAGUUCAUCCCAGCAGCUGGGUAG
rnacentral:rRNA from 1 species